rnacentral:rRNA from 1 species
UACGGAGGGAGCGAGCGUUGUUCGGAAUCAUUGGGCGUAAAGGGCAUGUAGGCGGCUUUGUAAGUCGGGUGUGAAAUCCCAUCUCUUAAGGGUGGAAUGGCAUUCGAAACUGCAAGGCUUGAGUUCAGGGGAAGAGAGCGGAAUUCUCGGUGUAGCGGUGAAAUGCGUAGAUAUCGAGAAGAACACCAGCGGCGUAAGCGGCUCUCUAUCCUGAAACUGACGCUGAGGUGCGAAAGCCAGGGGAGCAAACGGG